UACGUAGGGGGCAAGCGUUGUCCGGAAUCAUUGGGCGUAAAGAGCGUGUAGGUGGCUCGGUAAGUCUGGUGUGAAAUCUUGAGGCUCAACCUCAAGCUGUCACUGGAUACUGUCGAGAUUGAGUCCGGAAGAGGAGAGUGGAAUUCCUGGUGUAGCGGUGGAAUGCGCAGAUAUCAGGAGGAACACCAAUGGCGAAGGCAGCUCUCUGGUACGUGACUGACACUGAGACGCGAAAGCGUGGGGAGCAAACAGG
rnacentral:rRNA from 1 species